rnacentral:rRNA from 1 species
AGAGUUCGAUCCUGGCUCAGGAUGAACGCUGGCGGCGCGCCUAACACAUGCAAGUCGAACGAUUAAAGCACCUUCGGGUGUGUAUAAAGUGGCGAACGGCUGAGUAACACGUGGGCAACCUGCCCCUCUCAUUGGGAUAGCCACGGGAAACCGUGGAUAAUACCGAAUACUUCGGGACUUCCGCAUGGAAGACUCGAGAAAGCUCCGGCGGAGAGGGAUGGGCCCGCGGCCUGUUAGCUUGUUGGUGGGGUAACGGCCUACCAAGGCAAUGAUGGGUAGCUGGGUUGAGAGACCGACCAGCCAGAUUGGGACUGAGACACGGCCCAGACUCCUACGGGAGGCAGCAGUGGGGAAUCUUGCACAAUGGGCGAAAGCCUGAUGCAGCGACGCCGCGUGCGGGAUGAAGGCCUUCGGGUUGUAAACCGCUUUCAGCAGGGACGAGGCGAAAGUGACGGUACCUGCAGAAGAAGCCCCGGCUAACUACGUGCCAGCAGCCGCGGUAAUACGUAGGGGGCAAGCGUUAUCCGGAUUCAUUGGGCGUAAAGCGCUCGUAGGCGGUCUGUUAGGUCGGGAGUUAAAUCCGGGGGCUCAACCCCCGUUCGCUCCCGAUACCGGCAGACUUGAGUUUGGUAGGGGAAGGUGGAAUUCCUAGUGUAGCGGUGGAAUGCGCAGAUAUUAGGAAGAACACCAGUGGCGAAGGCGGCCUUCUGGGCCAUAACUGACGCUGAGGAGCGAAAGCUAGGGGAGCAAACAGGAUUAGAUACCCUGGUAGUCCUAGCCGUAAACGAUGGACACUAGGUGUGGGGGAAUAUUUCUUCCGUGCCGCAGCUAACGCAUUAAGUGUCCCGCCUGGGGAGUACGGCCGCAAGGCUAAAACUCAAAGGAAUUGACGGGGGCCCGCACAAGCAGCGGAGCAUGUGGUUUAAUUCGAAGCAACGCGAAGAACCUUACCAGGGCUUGACAUCCUGCUGACAGGACCUUAACCGGUCCCUUCUUCGGACAGCAGAGACAGGUGGUGCAUGGUUGUCGUCAGCUCGUGUCGUGAGAUGUUGGGUUAAGUCCCGCAACGAGCGCAACCCCCGUCGCAUGUUGCCAGCGGUCCGGCCGGGCACCCAUGCGAGACCGCCGGCGUCAAGCCGGAGGAAGGUGGGGACGACGUCAAGUCAUCAUGCCCCUUAUGUCCUGGGCUACACACGUGCUACAAUGGCCGGCACAAUGGGCUGCCAACCCGCGAGGGUGAGCGAAUCCCUAAAGCCGGUCCCAGUUCGGAUUGGAGGCUGCAACCCGCCUCCAUGAAGUCGGAGUUGCUAGUAAUCGCGGAUCAGCACGCCGCGGUGAAUGCGUUCCCGGGCCUUGUACACACCGCCCGUCACACCACCCGAGUCGAUUGCACCCGAAGUCGUCGGCCUAACCUUUUAGGAGGGAGACGCCGAAGGUGUGGUUGGUAAGGGGGGUGAAGUCGUAACAAGGUAGCCGUACCGGAAGGUGCGGCUG